rnacentral:rRNA from 1 species
AUUGAACGCUGGCGGCAUGCCUAACACAUGCAAGUCGAACGGGGUGUAGCAAUACAUCUAGUGGCGGACGGGUGAGGAAUACAUAGGAAUUUGCCCUUAAGUGGGGGAUAGUCCGGGGAAACUCGGUUUAAUACCGCAUGGUCUCGUGAGAGCAAAGCAGGGGACCGCAAGGCCUUGCGCUUUUGGAGAAGCCUAUGUCGGAUUAGCUAGUUGGUAGGGUAAUGGCCUACCAAGGCGACGAUCCGUAACUGGUCUGAGAGGAUGAUCAGUCACACCGGAACUGAGACACGGUCCGGACUCCUACGGGAGGCAGCAGUGGGGAAUAUUGGACAAUGGGCGCAAGCCUGAUCCAGCAAUGCCGCGUGUGUGAAGAAGGCCU